GAAGAAGAAGCCUUAAGGUUCCCGGGCCUUGUAACACCGCCCGUCACACCAUGAGAGUUUGUAACACCCAAAGUCGGUGGGGUAACCUUUUAGGAGCCAGCCGCCUAAGGUGGGACAGAUGAUUAGGGUGAAGUCGUAACAAGGUAGCCGUAGGAGAACCUGCGGCUGGAUCACCUCCUU
rnacentral:rRNA from 1 species